UACGGGGGGGGUAAGCGUUGUUCGGAAUUACUGGGCGUAAAGGGCUCGUAGGCGGCCAACUAAGUCAGACGUGAAAUCCCUCAGCUUAACUGGGGAACUGCGUCUGAUACUGGAUGGCUUGGAUCCGGGAGAGGGAUGCGGAAUUCCAGGUGUAGCGGUGAAAUGCGUAGAUAUCUGGAGGAACACCGGUGGCGAAGGCGGCAUCCUGGACCGGUAUUGACGCUGAGGAGCGAAAGCUAGGGUAGCAAACGGG
rnacentral:rRNA from 1 species